CAUUAAAACAGUUAUAGUUUAUUUGAUAAUCAAACUUACAUGGAUAACCGUGGUAAUUCUAGAGCUAAUACAUGCUGGUUAGCCUGACUUUUAGGAAGGGCUGUAUUUAUUAGAUAACAAACCAAUAUUCCUUGUGUCUAUUGUGAUGACUCAUAAUAACUGAUCGAAUCGCAUGGACCUUGUCCGCGAUACAUCAUUCAAGUUUCUGCCCCAUCAGCUUUCGAUGGUAGUGUAUUGGACUACCAUGGCUCUUACGGGUAACGGAGGAUUAGGGUUCGAUUCCGGAGAGGGAGCCUGAGAAACGGCUACCACAUCUAAGGAAGGCAGCAGGCGCGUAAAUUACCCAAUCCUGACUCAGGGAGGUAGUGACAAGAAAUAACGGACCGAAGCACAUGUUUCGGGAUUGCAAUGAGUAGAAUUUAAACCCCUUUACGAGGAUCAAUUGGAGGGCAAGUCUGGUGCCAGCAGCCGCGGUAAUUCCAGCUCCAAUAGCAUAUAUUAAAGUUGUUGCAGUUAAAAAGCUCGUAGUUGGAUUUCUGGGAGGGUGCUGAUGUCCGCAUGUUUGCGUGUGCAGAGCGCCCUCCCAUCCUUCUGUUAACGUUUCUUGGUAUUCAUUUACUGGUUUCGGGCUCAGAUAUUUUACCUUGAGAAAAUUAGAGUGUUCCAGGCAGGCUUGCGCCGGAAUACAUUAGCAUGGAAUAAUAGAAUAGGACUUUUGUCUCCUUUGUUGGUUUGAGGGACUGAAGUAAUGAUUAAUAGGGAUAGUCGGGGGCAUUAGUACUUAAUUGUCAGAGGUGAAAUUCUCGGAUUUGUUAAAGACUAACUUAUGCGAAAGCAUUUGCCAAGGAUGUUUUCAUUAAUCAAGAACGAAAGUUAGGGGAUCAAAGACGAUCAGAUACCGUCCUAGUCUUAACCAUAAACUAUGCCGACUAGGGAUCGGAGGCGCGCAUUAUCCGCCUUCGGCACCUUAUGAGAAAUCAAAGUCUUUGGGUUCUGGGGGGAGUAUGGUCGCAAGGCUGAAACUUAAAGGAAUUGACGGAAGGGCACCACCAGGAGUGGAGCUUGCGGCUCAAUUUGACUCAACACGGGAAAACUUACCAGGUCCAGACAUAGUGAGGAU
rnacentral:rRNA from 1 species